ACAUGGUUGGCUCAGUCAGUAGAGCAUGUGACUCUUGAUUUCAGGGUUGUGAGUUCAAGCCCCACACUGGGUG
rnacentral:tRNA from 1 species